AGGCAGCAGUGGGGAAUAUUGGACAAUGGGCGAAAGCCUGAUCCAGCCAUGCCGCGUGUGUGAAGAAGGUCUUCGGAUUGUAAAGCACUUUAAGUUGGGAGGAAGGGUUGUAGAUUAAUACUCUGCAAUUUUGACGUUACCGACAGAAUAAGCACCGGCUAACUCUGUGCCAGCAGCCGCGGUAA
rnacentral:rRNA from 1 species